CCACCGUAGUGCUUAGGCCGGAAAUGACCGGCCGUUUCCGGUCUCCCCGAUCCGGGAAGACGGUUUCGGGCUGUUGGAAACCGAACCCCAAGGUCCUAAGGCAGGUCCUUUGCGGAACUCAGACUCCAGCCCAGGGUUCCAGGCCUCCGGGCCUCCGACGGGCCCAACCACCAGCGUGGCUACUCGAGACAGUUCAGGGCCGGAAACGGGCCAGCGUGGGUCAUCAUGGCGACGCCGGCUGGGCUGGAGCGCUGGGUGCAGGACGAGCUGCACUCGGUGCUGGGGCUGAGCGAGCGGCACGUAGCCCAGUUCCUGAUUGGUACCGCGCAGCGCUGCGCCUCGGCCGAGGAGUUUGUGCAGCGCCUGCGAGACACCGAUACUCUGGACCUCAGCGGGCCAGCGCGGGACUUCGCCCUGAGGCUCUGGAACAAGGUACCACGGAAGGCAGUGGUAGAAAAGCCAGCUCGGGUGGCCGAGCGAGAGGCACGAGCCCUGCUGGAGAAGAACCGAUCCUAUAAGUUGCUGGAAGACAGUGAGGAGAGCAGCGAGGAGACCAUAGGUAGAGCUGGGAGCAGUCUCCAGAAGAAGCGUAAAAAACGGAAACACCUCAGGAAGAAAUGUCAGGAGGAGGAAGAAGAGGAGGAAGAGAUUUCUGAGAAAGGGAAGAGAAAGACAGGGGGGAGUAAACAGCAGACUGGGAAGCCAGAGUCGGAGGAUGAGUGGGAGCGGACUGAGCGAGAGCGCCUUCAGGACCUGGAGGAACGUGAUGCCUUCGCUGAGCGGGUUCGGCAGCGGGACAAGGAUCGAACUCGCAAUGUCCUGGAGCGGUCAGACAAGAAGGCUUAUGAAGAGGCUCAGAAGCGCCUCAAGAUGGCCGAGGAAGACCGGAAAUCCAUGGUCCCUGAGCUGCGGAAAAAAUCCCGCCGAGAGUACUUGGCUAAGCGGGAGCGCGAGAAGCUUGAGGACCUGGAGGCAGAGCUGGCUGAUGAGGAGUUCCUUUUUGGGGAUGUGGAGCUGAGCCGACAUGAACGGCGGGAGCUCAAAUACAAGCGGCGAGUUCGGGAUCUGGCCCGAGAGUACCGGGCGGCUGGGGAGCAGGAGAAGCUGGAGGCCACCAAUCGUUACCACAUGCCCGAGGAGACCCGAGGCCAGCCAGCACGAGCUAUGGAUCUAGUGGAGGAGGAAUCAGGCGCCCCUGGGGAGGAGCAGCGACGCUGGGAGGAGGCCCGGCUGGGGGCAGCAUCCCUGAAGUUUGGGGCCCGAGAUGCUGCUUCCCAGGAGCCCAAGUAUCAGCUGGUGCUGGAGGAAGAGGAGACCAUCGAGUUUGUCCGGGCCACUCAGCUCCAGGGCGACGAGGAGCCAUCAGGCCCACCGCCUCCAACCCAGGCCCAGCAGAAGGAGUCCAUCCAGGCUGUCCGCCGUAGCCUCCCAGUGUUCCCCUUCCGCGAGGAGCUCCUGGCAGCUAUUGCUGAUCAUCAGGUCCUCAUCAUCGAGGGUGAGACGGGCUCCGGGAAGACCACCCAGAUCCCGCAGUAUCUCUUUGAGGAGGGUUACACAAAGAAGGGAAUGAAGAUUGCCUGUACCCAGCCCCGGAGAGUAGCGGCCAUGAGUGUGGCUGCCCGGGUGGCCCGGGAGAUGGGUGUGAAGCUUGGGAAUGAGGUUGGCUACAGCAUCCGCUUUGAGGACUGCACAUCAGAGCGAACUGCCCUCCGCUACAUGACGGACGGGAUGCUCCUCCGGGAGUUCCUCUCUGAACCCGACCUUGCAAGUUACAGUGUGGUGAUGGUAGAUGAGGCUCAUGAACGGACCCUACACACAGACAUUCUCUUUGGGUUAAUCAAAGAUGUUGCUCGCUUCCGGCCUGAGCUGAAGGUUUUGGUGGCUUCAGCCACACUGGACGCUGCCCGUUUUUCCACCUUCUUUGAUGACGCCCCUGUCUUCCGAAUCCCUGGACGCAGGUUUCCAGUUGACAUCUUCUAUACCAAGGCUCCAGAGGCUGACUACCUGGAGGCUUGUGUCGUGUCUGUGUUGCAGAUCCAUGUGACCCAGCCCCCUGGGGAUAUCCUGGUGUUCCUGACGGGACAGGAGGAGAUUGAGGCCGCCUGUGAGAUGCUCCAGGAUCGCUGCCGCCGCCUGGGCUCCAAAAUCCGGGAGCUCUUGGUGUUACCCAUUUAUGCCAACCUGCCUUCUGACAUGCAGGCUCGUAUCUUCCAGCCCACACCCCCUGGGGCACGAAAGGUGGUUGUGGCAACAAACAUCGCUGAGACGUCACUCACCAUCGAAGGCAUCAUUUAUGUGCUGGAUCCAGGGUUCUGUAAGCAGAAGAGCUACAACCCUCGCACGGGCAUGGAAUCCCUCACUAUCACGCCCUGCAGCAAGGCCUCAGCCAAUCAGCGGGCUGGCCGGGCCGGUCGGGUGGCUGCCGGAAAGUGCUUCCGCCUGUACACGGCCUGGGCCUAUCAGCACGAGCUGGAGGAGACCACCGUGCCGGAGAUCCAGAGGACCAGCCUGGGCAAUGUUGUGUUGCUGCUCAAGAGCUUAGGGAUCCAUGACCUAAUGCACUUUGAUUUCCUGGACCCUCCCCCGUACGAGACCCUGCUGUUGGCUUUGGAGCAGCUGUAUGCCCUGGGAGCCCUCAACCACCUCGGGGAGCUCACCACGUCGGGUCGAAAGAUGGCAGAGCUACCGGUGGACCCCAUGUUAUCUAAAAUGAUCUUGGCCUCUGAGAAGUAUAGCUGUUCGGAAGAGAUCCUGACGGUGGCUGCCAUGCUGUGUGUGAACAGCUCCAUCUUCUACCGGCCCAAGGACAAGCUUGUCCAUGCCGACAACGCCCGGGUCAACUUCUUCCUCCCUGGUGGAGACCACCUGGUUCUGCUGAACGUUUAUACGCAGUGGGCUGAGAGUGGUUACUCUUCCCAGUGGUGCUAUGAGAACUUUGUACAGUUCCGAUCGAUGCGCCGAGCCCGGGAUGUGCGGGAACAGCUGGAGGGGCUCUUGGAGCGCGUGGAAGUUGGUCUCAGCUCUUGCCAGGGGGACUAUAUCCGUGUCCGCAAGGCCAUCACCGCUGGCUACUUCUACCACACGGCCCGGCUGACCCGGAGCGGCUACCGCACGGUCAAACAGCGGCAGACAGUGUUCAUUCACCCCAACUCCUCCCUCUUCGAGGAACAGCCACGCUGGCUGCUCUACCAUGAACUUGUCUUGACCACCAAGGAGUUCAUGAGACAGAAAGAAUCCUAAUAUUCUGAAAAAUGAACAAAGGAACGGAGCAACAGAUUUUAGUGUACUGUGGAUGAAAUGAUGUAGCCCUUAACAAAACUCCACCAUUAAGUGUGUGAUGGAAAAAAAACAUCCAACUGUAAGUAGAAGACACUUCUCCUAGCUCUGAUUACAUUGUGACACCUUGGGCACUCUCAUUCCCUAUGCCUAUCUCAUGAAUGUCCUCUUAUAAGCGAGGACGAUGAAGCCACACUGAAUUGUUUUGAGAACCAUAUGACGUAAUAAAUGUAAAUAAAACUUCGCCAUCUGUAAAUUGUAUGCAAAUGUAAGCUACUAUCAUUUCGGGCUCCUCUAACGACACAAACAAGCCGAGACCGUUAAAGGCUGGGCUCCAUUCCUCUGGUUUACCGACGUUGCAAGUGCGACGGGCGGGAGGUCACCCAAAGUCAGGCCUAGCCCGGGUCCCUCCGCUCUCAGGGAGCCCCUGGGGGGCGGGGGGGCCUCACUUCCGGGAAGGCUGGCUGGCCCUGCGGGUACCUCAGUCCCCGAGGCGCCGUCUCCGCCGGGGGCGUGGCCAUUUGGCCCGGCCCGGCGCAGGGGUCCGAACCGGAUCCACCCAGGCCGGCCUUCCUGCCCUGACCGCUAUCCCGCUGUAAGAUGCGCCGGCUGCAGAGGGCGGCCGGCAGGUCUGUCUGGUCGGGACCUGGGAAUUCCGGGGCGGCUCCGCGGCCAGGCUGCGAACCUCUCCGCCCCUUGUCCUUCAAAUCACCUCCAGGCACAGGUAACCGCGGAAACGCCGGCGAAAUGCGGCCGCGCCCCGCCGUCCCUGGUUCACUCCCGCCUGCACGCCCUAGACCCGGGAGAACAUCCCGUGCACGCCACGUCGCGCUGCGCCGUCCUGGAGUCCCCGCGACCCCUCGCCCCUCCACACACCGCCCUGCACAGCAAUGGCUGGCCUACGCUAAAGGGUAGAAGUCACCGGGAAGAGCUGGAGGUUUCUGGAGGGAAUGGAGGAGUAGCCCUAGAAGCCUAUACAGAGGGAUCCAGGGACUGACAGGAGACAGAAUCCGCAGAAGAUCCAGCAGAUCACAAAGGUAAGGAAGAUCAGAGGACCAGGGAUCCCAGGGGAAAAAAAUCAGGUGACACACAAAUGAGGCUGAGACCUGAAGUUUGGGGUUUUUUUGAUUUUUUUUUUUUUCAUUGAAAAUGUCCAUUUAAAAAACACAAAAGAAUGCACACUUUAUUCAGACAACACUGAAAAGGAGAAGGAAAAGGAGUUGGGAGAGAGGGAGAUCCUGCUCCCAAGUACUGGGAUGGGGGAACACAGUGGGGGUACCUGAUCUACCACACAUUCAGAGAGUAGGGAGGGGGAAGAUGGCCCAUACCCUGGGUACGGAGCAGGGGAAGGUUCUUGCUAUGGAGGAAGGGCCAGAGGAAGAGUUCCCCUAUCACCUCGAGACAAUCUCACAAGACUGCAAUAUAUAAUCACCUACCUACUGGGGCAGGGUGUAUGCGAGAGAGGAUCCCAGAAGCUAACAGAUAACUUGAGACUCAGGGCUUGUCUUCUGAAACAUGGCUAAGAGUGAUCCCAGGAUACUCAGUGGGGAUCUACUGCCAAGAAACAAACUUCCUCACAGAAUCUGGAUCUGGGGGAAGUGGUGGUAUCUUUAGAAGUGUGGGGAGUCUUUAGAGCCUCAAAGCAGACAUCAGCUUAGGGGUUCCCAGACACAUACACAAAAAAUGGGGAGAUUAAGAGUUUGGCAAUGUUGAGUGGAUCCCUUUGGGGACUGUCUUUAUCACUGAACUGCUCUGAAGCAGAGCUCGUUGGCUGUCUUCAGCAGGCUGAGAAGGUAAGUAUGGUAGGCACCACAAAACAGUAUUCGAGCCACCAGUAACACUGUAGAAGGACUAUGGGAUUUACUCCAUGGACAAGACUCCUAAAAAGGUUUCCCUGGCACAGGAGGCCCUUGGACCUUCCUAAGGUGUUCUAGAUUCUAAUAGCAAGCAAGAGUGUGCUUCUCUGGAUAAUGAGUAUGAGCCACCCAACCAAGGGAUCUGGCAGCGAAUCAGGCUAUCUUGUGGGAGUGUUCAGAGCCCACUUAGGAAAAAAGGCGUGCUUUCUACAGUAAGAAAAGCUACAAAGUAUUAGGCCAUCUGGGACCCUGACAACACCUUUGCCCAAGAAAGAGGAAGAGGAAAUCCUACGAGCUCUGUCAGGUUCCACUGGAACCUGGGGACUACAAUGGAAGAGUGGACCUGGGGUUCUCAGGGAGAAGGGGCUCUGCCUACCCCAGGUCUCCCAGGGAGGGAAGGGGGUAACUAUCUGUCAGUAUCGACUCUCAUCAGAGCGGGGAAGGGAGCUGUGGAAGGGUGUUAUGGACAGGAGAAAAGGGAAAGGGAAAAUGGGGGAGAGAGAAAAACAGAAAGAGAAGUCAGAGGUGAAGAGAAAGCUAGGGAGAGAAAUCAAGGAGAUGCCCCCUCUGUUUGCUGGGAUGGGUUCCUGCUACACAAAGGACUAACAUGAGGCCAGUGGCUCCCCAAACUGUCAGAAACAUUGCAUCUUCCCAGUAAGCAUUAAACCAAGAUUUCCCCAAUACGAGAGACUCAGUUCCCCCCAACCCAAUGGAUCUGUUAUUUCUAUCCUUUCUCCCAUCUCUCACUUUAAAAACUAUAGAGUCCCUAGACUCCAUAUAAAGUACUAUUCUACUCCUUCAUGUAACUUAUUUCCAGACUGCUCCCACAAAUCUGGUCUAAUAUACUCUUCUCAAAAGGUGUCAGGACUCUCCAAUCUCCCUGUCCUAUUGCUUCUCAUCUCUGGCAGAUCCAAACUGCCCUUUGCCAUUGCUAACACCUUCUUUGACAGUUCUGAGGCUCCCUAACCCUCCAACUCCUAUUACCUGGUGCGCCGACGUUGGGCUGGGCUGCCCCCAGGGUCAGUAGCAAGCAGAAGGCGGGCGGUAGGGUGUGGGGGGCAGAGGCGCAGGGAACGCAGCAACUCCUGCUCUGGCACAAAGGGGCGGAGGGGACCCCGUUCUGGUGAGUUUCCCAGGCUGCUGGAGCGGGGGGGUGGAUGGGCUGGAGGCGUAGCACGGCGAGGGGCCCUGUUUAGGGGCCACGGAGGCUCCACAGCUACCUUCAGAACUGGCAAGAGGGAAAAUACAGAGCAAGACGGAGAAAGAAGAAAAAGGAGAAAGAGUGAUGACAGCAAAGAUUUGGGUAGAAAAAAGAGAAAUCAGAGCCUUUAGAGAGAACUACUUGUCCUGGGUUAAGGCCCCCAAGCCCAGCCACCCUACCCGAGUCUUACAUUCUCGGUCACUAGAGGAAUAUGGCUUAAUGUCUCCCUCUGCUCUCUUGGGUGGCAGCUUUCUUGCUGGAGCUGACAGUGGACAGGACACAGACAAGGUAAGCAUUAGAAGAUAUACUUUGCACCCCUCCUCCCAGUUUACUACCCCCUUGACCCCAAACGUCUGCUCCCUCACACCACAGUUCCUCCUGGGGAAGGAGAGAGUUCAGUUCAGCUCCAUCGCAGAAGCUGUGGCAAUGCCUUCCCACCAAGAGGGAAUUCAGGGGAAAUGCUGGAGCACUUUUGAGGGGAGCCAGAAGGAGCAGGCCAAAUGCAGAGUUGGGGGAAAAGUUCUAGGGGGAGACUCGGGCCUGGGAGAUGCAGGAGAAAGGUGGCUAAGGGAGGCAAGCUCUUACUGUCAGUGGGUGCUGUCAGGCCCCCCUGGGAUUCUGGGGCAGUGGAAUGGUCCCAGCCGGGCCCUCUAGAUGAGAUGGACAAAGUCCUUGGUUAAUUAGGAAUUGCUUUGGAGAGCUCAGGGGAGGUUAGGGUAGGGCAGAACCUCUCCUUCUAGGGCAAGAUUGAAGCUUUAUUAGGAAAAACAAAGUUUGAGGAGAAAACAAAGACAUUUGGAGUUAGCAGAGUAAAUGGGAGGCUAACAUACUAUCCAAAGCUCUGCUUCCCAUGCCCUCGCUUUUCUAUUUGCUCCCUCCCUUUCCCUCUCAAGAGGUUCUCUAUUGUGUGUGGCAAAGGAGAGAUUUCUCAGCAAAUCCACUUAAGCUUUAUCCAUGGUCCCCUCCCCUGUGGGCUUGGGCCCUCACCGCCCUUGUGGGCCCUCACUCCCUCUCACAGCCUGUAGUCAGCAGGAGCUGGAUGGGGGAGGCCUUGGCAAGCAAAGCGAGUCCUGGAUAUGAACUGCCUCCCAGUGCCCGACACUGGUCAAAGCUAGUAAAUGGUAACAGAUUGUUCUUUGGGUAGUGGUUACUCCCUUUCCUGGCUACGGAGGAGGGGCGAGCUAGCCACAAAGCCAGCUAGCUCAGCAUGGGGGCACUUCUGUGCAAGCUGUGGGAGGCAGUGAGGAAGGAGUGGGGCUCAGACUGCCAGGGAAUAUGUGUGUAUGAGGAGGGAAUGGGGAGCUUGGGCAGCAUUUCAGUACCUCCUAGAUUUGGUUUCUCCAGAUUGAUUUCAUUAUUUGGUUGGAAAUAUUAUAAAAUCUGAGCGUUAUUUUCUAAAACUAAUGUUUAACUUUGGACCAUUCAUGUCACUAUUCUAUGACUGGAAAUGGAAGGGCUGACCGCACUUGUCUGUCCCUUGACUGACAGAAACCUGAGGGGUCUGCAAAGGAAGGUGACCCUGGCCUAUUUUGAUGGGCCUGAAGCGGCAAAAGACCGCAUCAAUAUCAAUCAUCAAACAGGUCCCAAUGAGCUCACUUAGUUAAAAGUUCUGACAAGCGUAAGAUGUACUAAGCUCAUGAGGGCAAAAGCAGAUGGGUAACAACUGCUGGAGACUUUGGCUGCUUGAGAAUUUUCCCAAAUUGCCCACAAUUGCACUGUGCCCCCUGUGGCCUCCAGAGGAACUAGCCACCAUAGCCUACAGUUCCGCCCAUUCACUGCAGCUUUACCAGCGGGUGUAGGAUCAACCAUGGCAGCGCGAGAGUGUCGAGAUGCCCUCAGGGAGGGAGCAGGGGGCCCUGUGAGAAGGAAGCGGUGGUGCCCCUCAGUGAGGGUGCCAGUGGGAUCAAGAAUCCACCUCUGUCCUUCCCCUCACCCCAACUACUUGGCCAACACUUACGAUGCUGAUGGGCAAAGAAGCCUUCGAAGAUCACAAAGUUGUUGACCUAUGAGAUGAAACAAGUGAAAUAUACGUUGUUCAUUCAGCCAUUCACCACUACAUGGGGACACAACCUGGUCCCAUAAAAACCACAGUGGGAGGAACAGAAGCCAGCCUUCCUGUCCUUGUUGACAGACUCAGUCAAAAAUUCAGACCCUGGUAAGCUGAUCCUAAAAGUUGAUAUGGAAUUAUAAAGGACCUCAAAUAGCCAAAACAAUCUUGGAGGAUUCACACUUCCUGAUUUCAAAACUUACAAGGUAUUGCAAUCAAAAUGGUGUGGAAGAGGCCUGAAGCUAGACAUACAGACCGAUGGCAUGAAUAGAGUCCAGAAAUAAACCCAUGUGUCUACGGUCAAUUUUCAAGGGAGUGCCAAUACGAUUCAAUGGGGGGAAAAACAGCUUCUUUAACAAAUGGUGCUUGGACAACUGAAUAUUCACAUGCAAGAUAAUGAAUGUGGACCUCUACCUCACAUCAGACAAAAAUAAUUUCAACUGGAUCAAAGACCCUAAAUGUUUUGGGUUUCAAAAAUUUUUUUAAAGUUUAUUUAUUUAAGUAAUCUCUGCAUCCAAUAUGGGGCUCAAACUCACAAUUUGGAGGAUCAAGAGUCACAUGCUCUUCAGACUGAGCCAGGCAGGCACCUCAAAGAUCUAACUGUCAAGAGCUAAAACGAUGAAAUUCUUAGAAGGAAACAUGGGGGCGGGGGUGCUUGGGUGGCUCAGUCAGUUGAGCGGCUGACUCUUGGUUUCAGCUUAGGUCAUGAGACUGUCCGUGCUCAACUAGAAGUCUGCUUAAGAUUCUUUCCCUCUGCGCCCCCACCCUGCUCAUGCACUCUCUCUCUCUAAAAAAAAGAAAGAAAUGGGAAAAUCUUCAUGACCUGGAUUAGGCAAUUGUUUCUUAAAUAUGACACCAAAGCAUAAGCAACAAAAGAAAAAAAAAAUAGGCGCCUGGGUGGCUCAGUUGGUUAAGCGGCUGCCUUCGGCUCAGGUCAUGAUCCUGGAGUCCCGGGAUCGAGUCCCGCAUCCGGCUCCCUGCUCGGCAGGGAGUCUGCUUCUCCCUCUGACCCUCCUCCCUCUCAUGCUCUCUGUCUCUCAUUCUCUCUCUCUCUCAAAAAAUAAAUAAAAUCUUUAAAAAAAAAAGAAAAAAAAAUAAACUGGACUUGGCCAAAAGCAAAA